rnacentral:rRNA from 1 species
UACGAAGGACCCGAGCGUUAUCCGGAUUUAUUGGGUUUAAAGGGUGCGUAGGCGGAUUAGUAAGUCAGUGGUGAAAGCCCAUCGCUUAACGGUGGAAUUGCCAUUGAUACUGCUAGUCUUGAGUAUGGUUGAGGUGGGCGGAAUGUGUCAUGUAGCGGUGAAAUGCUUAGAUAUGACCCAGAACACCAAUUGCGAAGGCAGCUCGCUAAACCAUAACUGACGCUGAUGCACGAAAGCGUGGUGAGCAAACAGG